UACGGAGGGAGCUAGCGUUGUUCGGAAUUACUGGGCGUAAAGCGCACGUAGGCGGCUUUGUAAGUUAGAGGUGAAAGCCCGGGGCUCAACCCCGGAAUUGCCUUUAAGACUGCAUCGCUUGAAUCCAGGAGAGGUGAGUGGAAUUCCGAGUGUAGAGGUGAAAUUCGUAGAUAUUCGGAAGAACACCAGUGGCGAAGGCGGCUCACUGGCUCAUACUGGACGCUGAGGUGCGAAAGCGUGGGGAGCAAACGGG
rnacentral:rRNA from 1 species